GGAAGGUACCUAGGUGGUUUGUAGAUGGAUGGACCGAGGCUCUACACAUCACCUUCCUGUCCUUCCCCCUGCACCCCCACAUCCCAGACCGUCCAUAUUUCCUCUCUUCCCGCUGACCUUGUUUCCUUCAAAGGAGAGUCCCCUGACCUACCUUAUAUGAAGAACACGUGUGAAGGCAACUGUUCUAGACUAUGGGUGGGAGCAUCAGUGCUUUGACAAUACCCAGAUGGUACAGCGGCUGCUACAAUUCAGGGGUAGGGAUGUUAAUAGAACCCUGGCCUUACCCGCUACUGGGUACCAACGACUUCUUGUGGUUUUCCUCCAUCCUGUCCACAACUCUGGCUAUUCCAAGGAACAAAUCAAAGCACACCUGGAGAGGGUCCAAAACAUCACUACGAGUAGGGAAAUAAAAUAACCAAAGUCACAACAACAGAGAGCAAGUAACACUCUCCAAAAAACACCUCCUGAAGGGCCAGGCCCUGGACAGUGUAUGACCCCCCACCACCCUCCCUAUAAUAUGGUGGUGCUUGCAGGUACAAAGCACACAGCAAGCUUUUAAAACUCAUCAGGGACAGAAAACUAGCCAAAAUGAUGAAACGGAAGAAUUCUCCACAAAAGAAAUUCCAGGAAGGAGUGACAGCUAACAAAUUGAUCAAAACCAACUUAAGCAAUAUAACUGAGCAAGAGUUGAGAAUAGUCAUAAAACUAAUUGCUAGGCUUGAAAAAAGCAUAGAGGACAGCAGAGAAUCUAUUGCUAGAGAGAUCAAGGGACUAAGAAAUAGUCAUGAGGAACAAAAAAUGUUGUAAGUGAGGUGCAAAAUAAAACGAAGACAGCCAAAGCACAGAUUGAAGAGGCAGAGGGGAGAAUAGGUGAAUUAGAAGAUAAAAUUAUGGAAAAAGAGGAAGCUGAGAAAAAGAUAAAAAAAUCCAUGAGUAUGAGGGGAGAGUUAGGGAAUUAAGUGAUGCAAUCAAACGGAACAAUAUCCAUAUCAUAGGAAUUCCAGAAGAAGAAGAGAGAGAAAGGAGCUGAAGGAGUACUUGAACAAAUCAUAGCUGAGAACUUCCCUGACCUGGAGAAGGAAAAAGGCAUUAAAAUCCAAGAGGCACAGGAAACUCCCUUCAGACGUAACUUGAAUUGAUCAUCUGCACGACAUACCAUAGUGAGACUGGCAAAACACAAGGAUAAAGAGAGAAUUCUGAAAGCAGCUAGGAAUAAACGGGUCCUAACAUACAAAGGUAGACAGACACAUAAGGGUAGUGGCAGACCUCUCUACUGAAACUUGGCAGGCCAGAAAGGAACGGCAGGACAUCUUCAAUGUGAUGAACAGGAAAAAUAUGCAGCCAAGAAUCCUUUACCCAGCAAGCCUGUCAUUCAGAAUAGGAGAGAUACAGGUUUUCCCAAGCAAACAAAAACUGAAGGACUUCAUCACCACGAAACCAGCCCCACAAGAGAUCCUCACGGGGACUCUGUGAGUGAAAUGUUGCAAGGACCACAAAGUACCAGAGACACCACUACAAGCAUGAAGCCUACAGACAUCACAAUGACUCUAAACACAUAUCUUUCUAUAAUAACACUCAAUGUAAAUGGACUAAAUGCUCCAACCAAAAGUCAUAGGGUAUCAGAAUGGAUAAAAAACAAGACCCAUCUAUUUGCAGUCUACAAGAGACUUAUUUUAGACCUGAGGACACCUUCAGAUUGAAAGUAAGGGGAUGGAGAACUAUCUAUCAUGCUAUGGGAAGUCAAAAGAAAGCUGGAGUAGACAUACUUAGACAAACUAGACUUUAAAUUAAAGGCUGUAACAAGAGAUGAAGAAGGGCAUUAUAUAAUAAUUACAGGGUCUAUCCAUCAGAAAGAGCUAACAAUUAUACAUGUUUAUACGCCAAAUACAGGAGCCCCCAAAGAUAUAAAACAAUCACAAACAUAAGGAACCUUAUUGAUAAGAAUGUGGUAAUUGCAGGGGACUUAAUAUUCCACUUACAACAAUGGAUAGAUCAGCUAGACACAGUAUCAAUAAAGAAACAAGGGCCCUGAAUGAAACAUUGGAUCAUAUGGACUUGACAGAUAUAUUUAGAACUCUGCAUCCCAAAGCAACGGAAUACACUUUCCUCUUGAGUGCACAUGGAACAUUCUCCAAGACAGAUCACAUACUAGGUUACAGACAGUCCUUAAUAAGUAUAAAAAAUUGAGAUCAUACCAUGUAUGAUGCAUACCAUACUUUCAGAUAACAAUGCUAUGAAACUUGAAAUCAACCACAGGAAAAAGUCUGAAAAACCUCCAAAGGCAUAGAGGUUAAAGAACAUCCUACUAAAUAAUGAAUGGGUCAACCAGGCAGUUAGAGAAGAAAUAAAAAAAAAUAUAUGGGAACAAAUGAAAAUGAAAAUACAACAAUCCAAAUGCUUUGGGAUGCAGCAAAGGCAGUCCUGAGAGGAAAAUACAUUGCAAUCCAGGCCUAUCUCAAGAAACAAGAAAAAUCCCAAAUACAAAAUCUAACAACACACCUAAAGGAACCAGAAGCAGACCAGCAAAGACACCCCAAACCCAGCAGAGGAAGAGAAAUAAUAAAGAGCAGAGCAGAAAUAAACAAUAUAGAAUCCAAAAAAAGCAGUAGAGCAGAUCAAUGAAACCAAGAGUUGGUUUUUUAAAAAAAUAAACAAAAUUGAUAAACCUUAAGCCAGGCUUCUCAAAAAGAAAAGAGAGAGGACCCAAAUAGAUAAAAUCACAAAUGAAAAUGGAAUGAUUACAACCAAUCCCUCAGAAAUACAAGCAAUUAUCAGGGAAUACUAUGAAAAAUUAUAUGCCAACAAACUGGACAACCUGGAAGAAAUGGACAAAUUCCUAAACACCCACACACUUCCAAAACUCAAUCAGGAGGAAAUAGAAAGCUUGAACAGACCCAUAACCAGCGAAGAAAUUGAAUCAGUUAUCCAAAAUCUCCCAACAAAUAAGAGUCCAGGACCAGAUGGCUUCCCUGGGGAGUUCUACCAGACGUUUAAAGCAGAGAUAAUACCUAUCCUUCUCAAGCUGUUCCAAGAAAUAGAAAGGGAAGAAAAGCUUCCAGACUCAUUCUAUGAAGCCAGCAUUACUUUGAUUUCAAACCAGACAGAGACCCAGCAAAAAACAAGAAAGAACUACAGGCCAAUAUCCCUGAUGAAUAUGGAUGCAAAACUUCUCAACAAGAUACUAGCAAAUCGAAUUCAACGGCAUAUAGAAAGAAUUAUUCACCACAAUCAAGUAGGAUUCAUUCCUGGGAUGCAGGGCUGGUUCAACAUUCGCAAAUCAAGCAAUGUGAUACAUCACAUUAAUAAAAGAAAAGAACCAUAUGAUCCUGUCAAUCGAUGCAGAAAAAGCAUUUGACAAAAUUCAGCAUACUUUCUUAAUAAAAACCCUUGAGAAAGUCGGGAUAGAAGGAACAUACUUAAAUAUCAUAAAAGCCAUUUAUGAAAGGCCCACAGCUAAUAUCAGCCUCAAUGGGGAAAAACUGAGAGCCUUCCCCCUGAGAUCAGGAACACGGCAGGGAUGUCCACUCUUACCGCUGUUGUUUAACAUAGUGUUGGAAGUUCUAGCAUCUGCAAUCAGACAACAAAAGGAAAUCAAAGGCAUCAAAAUUGGCAAAGAUGAAGUCAAGUUUUCACUUUUUGCAGGUGACAUGAUAUUAUACAUGGAAAACCUGACAGACUCCACCAAAAGUCUGCUAGAACUGAUACAUGAAUUCAGCAAAGUCGCAUGGUACAAAAUUAAUGUACAGAAAUCGGUUUCAUUUUUAUACACCAAUGAUGAAGCAACAGAAAGACAAAUAAAGAAACUGAUCCCAUUCACAAUUGUACC